CAGCCGAUUCACCUCAAAAAGUCGGGCAGCCACCCAGAGGGACCCGCGAAUGGGAAGUUCCCAACCCCGGGGCACCCACUCCCAUCACUACCACUGAUCCAAACGCAGAGUCUGCAGGCGACUCCACACGGGCCCUGUAAGCCCCAAGCACUUCCCACCCGGAGCGCGCCUGCAGUUCCUGGGCGCAGCGCCGCCCCGGAGCAAGGGCCCUGGGUGCGCUCUUGCCUGCAGCUGUCGCGGGGCGCCUUGCACCGCGGCAGGGCAAAGGGGAGGGGGAGUGACAAAGAAGAAGGCGGAGCAGGCGGUCUGGGAAGCACUUACAUUCGUUGGGAAAGCGCCUCCUCUCGAGAAAGAGAAGCAACGGCUUCCCGGCUAAGGAAACGCCCCAGGGAUGCCCCUCCGCGAAGUGCCGCCUUUUCCCGGCCUCUCGAUUCUCCCGCCUCCAGUCCGUCCUCCACCCCACGUCUAAGACUGGAUUCUAGACACCCUCCCUGCGGCUUUCCGAGGGACCUAGACACUGUCUCCGCUGCCGGCAGCUCAAGCAACAGGCGGAUCCUUAGGGCUUCAGCGACGACGGGCGCGGGGGACCAGAGGAUGGGGAAAGCCGGAGACUAGGCGCCCAGCAGGAUGCAGAGUCUCCUGCGGGUGUAGAUCUGCAGGGUCGUGCACCCGUGGGCUGGGCCGCAGAGGGACUGGGCAGCAAAAGCCUGCCCCUCUCUUUUGGAAGAGGAUCUAAAGCAUUUGUCUACACUGCUGUUAGCAAGCGCCUGAUAAAGAGGGUGAUCAUGUGGAGCAAAUGAAAUAAUAAACACGAAAGCACUUCGUGGACCAUAAAAUAUAUGUCUGUUCCCUGAAAGCUUACCAAGGUUAAGCCAAGCCAAGUGGUGAAUGCACUCCUACACACACACACACACACACACACACACACACACACACACACACACACGCAUACACACACAGCCACACCCUCGCCUCUGUGUCUAGAAUCCUCUCCUCUGACCUCAGUCUCCAUUACCACAAUGCAUGCUGGGAUCUCUCUGACUGCCUCCUUCCUCCCACCCCAUCAAAAUGUCUUUACACCCCAUGAUAGG